CGAGGCCAUGCAAGGACAUUCACCUUUUUCUCCUUCAACCACUGUGUGGUCGGUUUUGCUGUGAGCUUUGAGUCAUUGUCAUGUUAGGAGGUAAACUUCCCACUGACAACUUUCUGGCAGAGGGCAGCACACACAAUGAGCACUUUUUGUCAUAGGCCUCUUGGUCACCUCUCUGAGCAGUUUUCUCCUGGCUCUUUCAUCCAGUUUGGAGCGAUGUCCUAAUCCAGGCGUUCAAGGCGUCGAUUUGCAGCUUUCAUGAUGCGAAGUGCAGAAGUAAACCAGGGUGAUAUGUGCAUAGAAGAGAACUUGGAAACCCAGACCUGUUUCAGAGAGGUCAACAGGCCACACGAAGACAACGGUUUAAAUGUCUUAAAGGAGCCAUCAUUGAAAAGAAGUAUUAGCAGAGUAGGAGUAAGUUUGAAUGUCUCUAGUCAUUUUGAUAGUUAUGAAGAAAUAACUCAUAUAUAGAUCUGAGGACUACGUUAAGUUACAGUCUGCCCAAGAUGUAUUAAAAGGUGCAUCAAAUACGUUCUUUCUUUCUUUCUUUCUUUCUUUCUUUCUUUCUUUCUUUCUUUUUAAUUAAUUGGGUACUAGUUUCACAGGCAAUUGUUAUAUUUUCUAAACAUUCAUUAGGUUUGUGUCUUUGAAAUCUUAUUUUUAUGCCAAACAAGGAAAAAGACAGACAAUAUCAUCUGUGCUUGGAUGUGGCAAAAAAGGGUAGAACGCAUGUGGUUUACAUUAUAAUACAAUUUUGAUAAAAUGCAUAUCUGUGUCUGCAUUUGUAAACAACUGUUUUUGAGAUUAAACCUGCAGAGAAAAUGUCUCCCGCCCUCAUGUGGCUGUGAGAUGAAUUUGCGAUGAAUUUGAGAUGAGAUCAUUUUCCAACACGCGCGAGAUGGAGAGAGUUUAGCAAGGCCCAAGGGACUGAAACUCUGCCAGAAAUGUAAGGAGAGUGAAGGAAUCGGACCAUUCACGGAGUGAGAAAGUAAAAAUGAGUUGUGUGAGUGCCAGACUUCUUCCCUGAUGGAUUCAUUUGGGAGAGCUCCAUCCUCAUCUGGAAGGCUGUCAGGUCCCAGCAGAGGUUUUAUUGGGUGACAAGCAUUGUGUUGGCUGUCUCCUUACAGCCCUGGAUGCAGCCCAAAACUGUUGCUCAACGCAGAAGAAGACAAAGUUUGCUUCUUAGUCCUGUGAAAUAUGUUGAACUCUGGAACUCAGUCUUUUAUGUAGUGUAUGUGUGCGCAUUUUAUCUUAAAAGUUGUUUUCUAUCAACUUUUAAGAAUGGAAUGAAGGACCUUCCCUUUUCAUGCUUUAAACAUUACAAAUAAAUAGAAUUAC
ensembl:lncRNA